rnacentral:rRNA from 1 species
GACAAACCGUGCGAACGUUGUUCGGAUUCACUGGGCUUAAAGGGCGCGUAGGCGGGCCGGCAAGUCCGGGGUGAAAUCCCACGGCUCAACCGUGGAAUAGCCUUGGAUACUGCCGGUCUCGAGGGAGGUAGGGGCGUGUGGAACUUCCGGUGGAGCGGUGAAAUGCGUAGAUAUCGGAAGGAACGCCGGUGGCGAAAGCGACGCGCUGGACCUCUUCUGACGCUGAGGCGCGAAAGCCAGGGGAGCAAACGGG